ensembl:processed_transcript
GGAAAUGGAAGCUUUGUAAAAGAUGUCACAUGCACACCGAAAUCCCGGGAAAGAUAUGGUCUCAUAUGCAGUGUCACACUGUCUGUGGCUGUAAUAAUACUCUUUAUUUCUUCUAACCUGUUUUCAAAGUGUGAGUAUAUGUGGUAUUCAUAUUAAUAUUGUAAAAUCCUGUAUAUCACAGUAGUUUGUUUUAUGUGAUGGAUUGUUGUUCAAACCUGUCACCCAAACAAGACAAAAUGUGAUGCUUACAUUAAUAGUGUGUGUGUAUAUAAAUUAAAUUAUAAUCAUAUUUUUUUUUUCAAACAGUAGUGUCAGAAUGUAGUUUGUUAUCUAUAUAUAUUUUUUUUUGACCGUUUUACGAUUUAGUGUUUUAAAGACUGUUUUACUUCUAUAUAGGUCGGGAAAAUCUAACAAAUGCUGUUCAGGAAACUGUUGAUUCUAAUAUGACUAUAUCUAACAGCACACCGGAGGAAAUCAAUGAGCAGUAAUACAUUUUUUUCAAAACUCUCGAGCAAACCCAGGCUUCUAUCUCUAUAUCAUGCACUUCUCCGUGUGCUGUGACCUUGACGUGGUGGAGAAGCUUAAGUCCUUCCAGAAACUUCCACCUGAAAUAGUUUUCUUCACCAGUGUAUUGAAG